rnacentral:scRNA from 1 species
UGCUCUGGCCCGACACGCCUCCUGAGCAGCGC